GGUUUGUGAUAGACUAUUUACACUCCAAUGUCUAUUAAUAGUUAAAAAGCACAGACUGCUAUGAUUUGAAAAACGUUCUAUGCUUUUUCUCCCAGUGAUGGAGAAAAACAAUAACACUAAAUCAUAAAUUUACAAGAAUGGAUAUUAUUUAUAAGAUCUUAGAUUCAUAACUAAGUGCUUAGUUUGUGCAUCUCUUAUUUGGGAACUGCUUGUGGUUGGUAAAGAGGAGAUCCCCAUUAAAUAUGCAGCUAAAUUAAAGUAUUCUUAGACCAUUCAUGUUUUCAAAGAAACAGACAAUAUAAAAGAACCAGGAAAUGGCUCAGUACUGUAAAGAUCAUUAAUGGCAAUCUACA